CCUACGGGAGGCAGCAGUGGGGAAUAUUGCACAAUGGGGGAAACCCUGAUGCAGCGACGCCGCGUGAGUGAAGAAGUAUUUCGGUAUGUUAAGCCCUAUCAGCCGGGAAGAAAAUGACGGUACCUGAUUAAGAAGCGCCAGCGAACUACGUGCCAGCAGCCGCGGUAAUCCGUAGGGCGCAAGCGGUAUCCGGAAUUACGGGGUGUAAAGGGAGCGUAGACGGGAGCGCAAGGGUGAAGUGAAAUGCUGGGGGUUAAACCCGGGACGGCCUUGGAAACUGGGGAGCUAGAGUGCAGGAGAGGUAUGUGGAAUGCCUGGUGUAGCGGUGAAAUGCGUAGAUAUUAGGAGGAACACCAGUGGCGAAGGCGGCAUACCGG
rnacentral:rRNA from 1 species